CCCUUAGAUGUCCUGGGCCGCACGCGCGCUACACUGAUGCAUGCAACGAGUAUAUAACCUUGGCCUGAAAGGCCUGGGUAAUCUUUUGAACGUGCAUCGUGAUAGGGAUAGAUUAUUGCAAUUAUUAAUCUUGAACGAGGAAUUCCUAGUAAGCGCGGGUCAUCAUCCCGCGCUGAAUACGUCCCUGCCCUUUGUACACACCGCCCGUCGCUCCUACCGAUUGAGUGGUCCGGUGAGGCUUUGGGAUCUGAGCGGAAAGAGCGUUUCGCUGUUUCUGCUCGGAAAACUCAGUCGAACCUUAUCAUUUAGAGGAAGGAGAAGUCGUAACA
rnacentral:rRNA from 1 species